rnacentral:rRNA from 1 species
UUUCGUGAAUUCCCCAAGGAAUUGACGGGGGCCCGCACAAGCGGUGGAGCAUGUGGUUUAAUUCGAAGCAACGCGAAGAACCUUACCAGGUCUUGACAUCCUCUGACAACCCUAGAGAUAGGGCUUCUCCUUCGGGAGCAGAGUGACAGGUGGUGCAUGGUUGUCGUCAGCUCGUGUCGUGAGAUGUUGGGUUAAGUCCCGCAACGAGCGCAACCCUUGAUCUUAGUUGCCAUCAUUUAGUUGGGCACUCUAAGGUGACUGCCGGUGACAAACCGGAGGAAGGUGGGGAUGACGUCAAAUCAUCAUGCCCCUUAUGACCUGGGCUACACACGUGCUACAAUGGACGGUACAAAGAGCUGCAAGACCGCGAGGUGGAGCUAAUCUCAUAAAACCGUUCUCAGUUCGGAUUGUAGGCUGCAACUCGCCUACAUGAAGCUGGAAUCGCUAGUAAUCGCGGAUCAGCAUUCCCGG